UGGGGAAUAUUGCACAAUGGGCGCAAGCCUGAUGCAGCAACGCCGCGUGAGGGACGACGGCCUUCGGGUUGUAAACCUCUUUUGGCAGGGAAGAAGCGAACGUGACGGUACCUGCAGAAAAAGCACCGGCUAACUACGUGCCAGCAGCCGCGGUGAUACGUAGGGUGCAAGCGUUGUCCGGAAUUAUUGGGCGUAAAGAGCUCGUAGGCGGUUUGUCGCGUCUGCUGUGAAAACCCGAGGCUCAACCUCGGGCCUGCAGUGGGUACGGGCAAACUAGAGUGCGGUAGGGGGGAUUGGAAUUCCUGGUGUAGCGGUGGAAUGCGCAGAUAUCAGGAGGAACACCGAUGGCGAAGGCAGAUCUCUGGGGCGUAACUGACGCUGAGGAGCGAAAGCAUGGGGAGCGAACA
rnacentral:rRNA from 1 species